rnacentral:lncRNA from 1 species
AAUCGAUCGCCGCACACCGCCCAAAUCCCUAGGGUUUAUGAUGGUGCCUUAGAGCGAACCCAAGAGAGAGAGAAUAUUUGUGGAGAGGUGAUUCUUAUUUUAUUUUUUUCGCUUUUCAUAUGUAGUCAAUACCUCAUAUAUUUAUAGGCCAUAAGGGGGACAUUAAUCCUAAUCAUAUUCUAAAUCUCACAUAGAUAGAGAUUUAAACAAAUUAGGGUUUAUCUGUUAGAUUUAUUUUUUAUCCCAUAUGGACUAAGAAUAUAACAGAUAAUUAUAAAUAUUUAUUUUCUAUCCCAUAUGGAUUAGAAAUAUUUUAGAUUAGUCCCAAUAUGGACGAAUCCUAACAGUACCUAUAUCAUGCCUCGAGUCCCGCAAUUUGAAUAUGCUCGGGAAC